rnacentral:tRNA from 1 species
CGGGGCGUGGCGCAGUUUGGUAGCGCACCUGCUUUGGGAGCAGGGGGUCGCUGGUUCGAAUCCAGUCGCCCCGACCA